rnacentral:lncRNA from 1 species
CUGUCCUGAAGAGAACCUAGAGUGACCUUCUUGUUCCCAUGCUCUCGAUUCCUCUCGACGAGCACCCCUAGAACGUGAAACACUACCAUCUCCUCUGUAGUUUCCACGGUAAUUGGAAUUCUUCUUGUUUCCUCUCUCAAGCACUUUCACCCAUUUUGACUCCUGCUCCUCAAACAUCUUCCCUUUGCCUUUCCCAUAAUAAUCUCUACUAUCUCUCUCUUUGGUCUGCUGACCACCAUUCCCGUUGAUGACUACUCCCUUAUAGCUCCUGGCUCGAUCCUCAUUCUUACCACCAU